rnacentral:rRNA from 3 species
GUCACACCCGUUCCCAUACCGAACACGGAAGUUAAGCUCUUUAGCGCCGAUGGUAGUUGGGGGCUUCCCCCUGUGAGAGUAGGACGUCGCUAGGC